CAAAACGAUGAUUACCGAGAUUUCAGUUAAUAUGAUUGUCUAAUU
rnacentral:guide_RNA from 1 species